rnacentral:misc_RNA from 1 species
UUUCCGUAGGUGAACCUGCGGAAGGAUCAUUAAAAAAUUGGACUCCAUUGGUGAGUUCAUUAAUAAUCCCUACCCUUUGUGAAUUUGUUUGUUUGAAUAAUUUUUUUUCCAAAAAAAAUUAUUGAAUGUCUUUCCUUGUUUUGGUGGAGCUUGUAAAGUGAAACCAGGCAGGGGAAUGGCAAACAAUAAUUAUUUUUGAAAAAGACCUUUUUUUAAAUUAAACUUUUUGUAUUCAUUUGUCUAAAAUUAAUUUUUAUAAUAUAAAAACAACUUUUGACAAUGGAUCUCUUGGUUCUCGCAACGAUGAAGAACGCAGCAAAAUGCGAUAAGUAGUGUGAAUUGCAGAAUACGUGAAUCAUCGAAUCUUCGAACGCAUAUUGCACUUUUUUAGUUUACUAAAAAAGUAUGUCUGUUUGAGUAUCAGUAAAAUAUUCUCAUAAAAAACAUUGUUUUUUUUAUGGUUAUGAGUGUUUUACAACGAUAACAAGUUGUUUCACUUUAAAUUCUUUGUUAUCAAAAAAAUCAUUAAAAGCUAAUUUUAAAGAUUGUUUAAAAUUGGAUAAAAUUUUCCCGUAAAAAGGAAUAACCUAAACAAUUUUAAAAAAUUAAAAUUGGUUUGAUUUUUUUUGAAACCCAAAGGAAAAAAAAACGAAAUUAACUUGAUCUCAAAUCAGAUAAGAGUACCCGCUGGACUUAAGCAUAUCAAUAAGCGGAGGAAAAGAAACUAACUAGGAUUCCCUCAGUAACGGCGAGUGAAGCGGGAAGAGCUCAAAUUUGAAAUCUUCAAGUUUUACCUUGACGAAUUGUAGUUUAAAGAAGUGUUUUCUGUUGGAGUUUUGGUAAAAGUUCUUUGGAAAAGGACUCAUAGAGGGUGAGAAUCCCGUAUUUGACCAUUAUCUCCAGCUUUGUGAUACACUUUCAAAGAGUCGGAUUGUUUGGGAAUGCAGUCCAAAAUGGGUGGUAAAUUUCAUCUAAAGCUAAAUACUGCGAGAGACCGAUAGCGAACAAGUACCGUGAGGGAAAGAUGAAAAGAACUUUGAAAAGGGAGUUAAACAGUACGUGAAAUUGUCAAAAGGGAAGCGUUUGACACCAGUGUUGUUUUCUCGAAAAUCAAUUAAAAAAGGCCGGAUUUUGUGUUGUAUUGACUUUAUCAGCUUUCUGCACUCUUUUCUUGUCUUUUUUAAUGCACUUUUCGUUUAACAAGUCAACAUCAAUUUCUUUUGUUGUAAAAGGGUCAUUGGAAGGUGGCUUUCUUUCGGAGAAGGUGUUUAUAGCCUUUGGCCUCUGCAAUCGGAGAGAUUGAGGUCUGCAGCGUAGAUCCUUCGGGGUUAGAUACAUUUGUGCUAAGUUAUAGCCUUUCAUAGACAACUUGUUGACUAUGAUCAGUCACGUAGCUUACUCGCUUAUGCUAUUUUACCUACGCUUAGGAUGUUG